rnacentral:misc_RNA from 1 species
AAGAAAUUCAUGUAAAAGAUAAAAAAAAUGUUUCAAAAUGUUUUGCAUUAAAAAUGCACUAAAAAAAGUAAUGAUAAUUUGGCUUGCGGAAUGGUGGUACGAGUGGUGAUGAAGCUGAAGCUGUUGACGAGACUUUAGACUGAUCUAGGUACUUUGACCCUUGGCCAAAUUAAUUGUAUAAUCAAUCAUCCACAUGAAAAAAAUCAUCAUUUUAUUUUAAAUAUAUAUUUUAUAAAUAAAUAUUUACAAGAAAAUUCAUCUACUUUUUUUUUUUGGUUUUUUUUCUAUACAUAAUUAUUUGUGUGUAAUUAAAAUAAAAUCUGUGGAGUGAUUGAUUAUAUAGAAAAAAAAAUGAAAUUAAAUUGACAAGGGUCGCAUUUAGAAUAAUGCACUUAUUUUUUUGUGCAAGCCUCGAUUCAUCCACCCUUUUACAUUUUUAACCCUUUUAUUUAUUUUUCUUUUUUUCUUCAAGCCAUGACCUUGUUUUCACAAAGACAAUGAUAUAAACGUUCCUUUCUUUAUCUUUUUCUUUAUCUUUUUUUUUUAUCUCACCCUAUUCUUUUUAUUAUUAUUAUUACUACUAAUUGAGCCACUAGUUUUUUUUGUUUUUUAUUUAAAUGACACUCGAGAGAGUGAUCAAGUGGCUCUUUCAUUGAUUUACAAUUAUUAUCUCGUUUUUUUGUUUUUUUUAUAUAUAUUUUUUAAAAUAUAAGAUAAUAAUAAUAAUAAAUGUCUUUGGGCUGAGACAAUUAUUGUGACACGUUAUGUCUCUCAGCCAAGUACGACGAGUUAGUGAUGAUGAUGAUGAUGAUUUUUUUUUUUUUUUUGAAUAAUUAAAAUUUUAAAAAAGCAAAGUUAAUGAGCAAGUUUUUUUUAUUUUUGAAAAAUUUUAUAUUAUGUUUCUGCAAAUGUGCAGCAUUUUUUGGAUAAUUAAAAAAAAUUUAAGAAUCAGUUUUUAAAUAAAUCCAUAAAUCAUCAACAACAUCACCGCACUUAUAUAUAUUUUUUUAUUUAAAAAUACAAAAGAAACAAAAAAAAUAAUAAAAAAAUAAACUUCAGUGUGAGUGUAGAAAAUAAAUACAAACAAACAAACAAACAAAUCAUACCAUAUAAUAAUAAUAGAAAUAAUCCAUAGUAUUUAUUUAAAUGAAAAUAAACUGCAAAACCGAAUUGAUUAUUUAAAUAAAAAAAAAAAAUAAAUAAACAACGAUGUGUCUCCCCUUUUACCGCAUCGUCUUAUAUUUUAAUCAAAUUAUAUAUAUAUUUUCUUUUUUCAUAAUAAUUUGUUAAAUUUGUCCCGGGCUAAAGAUUUUGGUUGAAAAAAAAAAAAAAAAAUAUUAAAUAUAAAUAAUUAUAUAAUAAAAAUAAAAAGUGUCAAAUAAUUUUUAUGUAUGAACCAGAUGUAUUCGAAAACCAGAUGUCUCAAUAAACAAUUGUAUGUGAAUUACCUUUUUAAUUGAAAUUGAAUAUACAUUUAUUUUUCAUGAAAAGUUUAUAAUUAUUAUUUGUACAUGUAUACCUAAGAAUAAUAAAUUAAAUAAACUAAAUAAACCAAGAGUCCAAGACAAGAUAAAUAGGAAGAAUUUCAAGCAAAAACCUUGACCAACAUAAUGUAUAUUUUUUAUCUUUGCUCUAGUUAUUAUAAUUAUUAUUUAAUUUCAAGUAUCAACAGCUCUUAAAAUUUAAGAAUUUGCAGCUAAUAAACAAUAUUGAUUGAAAUAAUAAUCAAAAAAAUAUAUUGCCUGAUAUUAUAUUAUUUAAAAAAAUAAAUAAAUAAAAAUUUCUAUUGCAUAACAGCUUGUGUAAUACAAGGGUGGGUGGAUGGGUGGCUGCUGUGUGCUUUGAGGGGGAUGAAAAAUAAAUAUAAUAUACACUUUGUUGCGUGCGCCGUUCGCGCAUCUAAAUGUGAUGGUGGUGAUGGUGAUGAUGAUGAUGAAGGCAGAGCAAAAGCAGAGUGCCAAGCAGACUCACUUUGUAGAUAGAUCAUAUAUACUAAAAAAAACUGCCAAGAUUAACUUUGCGUUGAAAUAUUUGUUUGUUUCAUCAUAAGGGUGUGUGCGUGUGUGUUUGUGAAAUUUAUUAUUUGUUUAUUUAAAAAACAAAAAUAAAAAUAGUAUACAUAUAUUCAAGUAUGUUUAUUAUAAUUAAUAUAUAUUGUUGUAAAUUUCAGUGAUAAGUGAAUGAAAUUUGAGAAAGUUUUUUAGGAAAUAAUAGUUAUCAAUCAAGAAAAUUUAUUUUUUUUAUUUUCAUUAUUUUUUUAUAUAUAUAUAAUGACUGAUGGAAAAUUAUAACGAUGAUCUCUCGGAUCAAUUUGACUCUUAUUUUUUGGACUUGGAAUAGACACUGACGAUAUGGACACAAUAUGGCUUCGGUACUGCGGCAUGCCUCUGGGAGUUGUUGUUUCGUCUCACCUGCCAUUAUUAUCAUCAUCUUUCUGUUACUUUGUUCACGCUCAAUCACAGGAUGUGAUCAGACAUUUGUCAGUGUACACGGUGGUCCACAAAAUGGAACAUUUAAUGCUCCAAUUUUGAUAAAUGCCAAGGGAGAAUCACAGCAAUGUGUUUACACAUUUCUUGCAGCAUCAAAUCAACGAGUGGAAAUUAUUUUUACAACAUUUGGCCUUCGUGGCACACCACCAGAUGGAUCUGCUGUUGGGGAAUUACCUGGAUGUGUUCACGAGUAUAUGGAUAUAUAUACUCAAAUACGAUCAGAAAAUGCAACAAAGCUCAUUGAAUCACCAUUUGGUGGUCGUUAUUGCGGACCCAUACCACCAAGAAAACGUAUAUCAUUUUUUCAAGGCAUUGCAUUGAGUUUUUUUACUGAUAAAAAUACAACUGGAGAAAAUUUAUUUAGUGGAAAAUAUGCAUUCAUAAAUGCCUCUGAAUUUGAAGUUGGUACACCAGCACCAAAUGCACCAUGUUCAUUUAUGAUAAAUUCAACUUUAAAACGUACUGGAAAUAUUUUAACACCAACUUAUCCAGGAACUUAUCCAAAAAAUCUUGUAUGUACUUAUAAAUUUUAUGGAGAACCACGACAGCGAGUUAGAAUUGAAUUUCGUGAUUUUGAUCUUUUUUUUGGUGGUCCACACUGUCCAUUUGAUUAUGUUAAAGUUCUGGAUGGACUUGAUGAAAAAUCACCAGUUAUUGGUACUUAUUGCGGACAACAAAGAAAUCUCGUUUUAUAUUCUUCACAAUCAAAUCUUACUGUGCUAUUUGUGACACUAAAACGUUCAGCAAAUACACAAAAUCGUGGUUUCAAAGGAAUAUUUGAAUUUUCAGAAAGCUUUGUUCAACUGGAUUUCAUCAAUAAAUCUGGAGGUACACAUAUUAGAGGAUCAGAAUGUGAUCAAAAAAUAUUAAGUCAAAAAGAAUCAUGGGGUCAUGUUGUCAGUCCAAAUUAUCCUUAUCCUUAUAUACCAAAAGUUGUUUGUCGUUAUUUUAUUUAUGGUAUGCAAGAUUCACAAAAUCUCGAACGUGUUAAACUUGAAUUUUCAGCAUUUGAAAUAUCAAAAAUUGAAGGAAAAGGAGAAAGUUCAUCAUGCACAGAUGGAUAUUUAAAAAUAUAUUUAAAAGGCCAAGAAGCAACUGAUUCUUAUGAUAAAUUUGAUUAUGAAAUGUGUGGCAAUGAAAGUAAUCCAAGUCACGUUAUGAGUGAUGGACCACGUCUUGUUAUGGUAUUUAGCAGUGGUGAGCUCAAACAAGGCAAAGGUUUCAAAGCAAAGUAUACAUUUGAGACUGAAUACAUGAUACCUGGUACUGCAUCACCAGAUGGUACUUGUACAUUUACCUAUCGUAGUUCAUCAAAAAAAAAAGGUGAUUUUAAUUCACCAAGAUAUCCAAGCAAUUAUCCAAGUGAUACUAAUUGUACAUACUUAUUUUUAUCAACACCAAAUGAACAAGUAACCAUUGUCUUUGAUCAUUUUAAAGUUAGAACAAGAAAUACAAAUAUAACAAGUGGUCAUUAUGGAUCAGAAUUGUGUCAAGAUGAUUGGCUUGAAAUAUACAACAUGUAUCAUGAUGGUACAGAAACAUUGAUUGGUCGUUAUUGUUCAAUGACUGCACCUGGACCAGUUGAAUCAAAUCUUGGUGCACUUGGUCUUAAAGUUAUUCUUCACUCAGAUUUACAACAUGUUUACAGUGGCUUCAAGGCACACUAUACAUUUGAUGUUGCUAAAUCAAUAUUUGGAGAUUGUGGUACAAACAUCAGUAGUCUUGAUUAUGGUGUUAUAACAAGUCCAAAUUUUCCAAAUAAAUAUCCUGGUCCACCAAAACAUAUGGCAAGUAAAACAUGCAAUUGGUUCAUCAGUGUUCGUCCAAACCACAAAAUAUUAUUAAACUUUGAAAUGUUUUCCGUUGAAGGAGAACAAUCUGCAAGAGGUUGUCCAGCAGCUGUAUUACGAAUGUGGAUUAGUCCAACAUCAGAUCCAAUUGAACUAUGUGGUGCAAAAGCACCAGAAAUAAGCUGGAGUCAUUUAUCUGAUGAUAAUAAUAUGCGAUUAAGUUUUAUAUCAUCCGACAAGGCUGUUGGUCAACUUGGUUUUCGUGCUGUUUGGACUGAGGUAUCAAUGACAAAUGAAUGUGAACCAGAUGAAUAUCAUUGUGAUAAUAGUCGUUAUUGCAUAAGUGCCAAUCUUAGAUGCAAUAAAAUUGACAAUUGUGGACCUGAGGAUCUUUCCGAUGAAGAAAAUUGUACAGCAUCAGCUACGCGAUUGGCACUGGCUGGACAAUAUGAAAUGCUUCUUCUUCUUCUUCUUCCUCUUCUUGUCUAUGCUCUGUGCUUUGUGUUCAUGAACAACUGAGAUCUUUCUACGCCUUUCAACAGACUCUCAACAACACCUUUAAUCAUGAAUGAAUCUUCUUUAAUCACGUGUAAUUGUGGUACAAUCACAAAGUUAUGCUGUACCAGCAGCUUGUGCUGCAGCAGCAGUUACAAUUGCAUUGGCAUUAUGUAUGCUGUGUCAUAGAAAGCUCAAAAGACGUGCCC